UGGGGAAUCUUGCACAAUGGGGGAAACCCUGAUGCAGCGACGCCGCGUGAGCGAUGAAGGUUUUCGAAUCGUAAAGCUCUGUCCUAUGGGAAGAUAAUGACGGUACCAUGGGAGGAAGCCCCGGCUAACUACGUGCCAGCAGCCGCGGUAAUACGUAGGGGGCGAGCGUUGUCCGGAAUUACUGGGCGUAAAGGGUUCGCAGGCGGCAUGGCAAGUCCGAUGUAAAAGGCGAAGGCUCAACCUUCGUAAGCAUCGGAAACUGUCAAGCUUGAGUGAAGGAGAGGCAAGUGGAAUUCCUAGUGUAGCGGUGGAAUGCGUAGAUAUUAGGAGGAAUACCGGGGGCGAAGGCGACUUGCUGGACUUCAACUGACGCUGAGGAACGAAAGCGUGGGUAGCAAACAGG
rnacentral:rRNA from 1 species